rnacentral:rRNA from 1 species
UAACUUAAGAGUUUGAUUAUGGCUCAGAACGAACGCUGGCGGCAUGCCUCAUACAUGCAAGUCGAACGAGGUCUUCGGACCUAGUGGCGCACGGGUGAGUAACAUGUGGGAAUCUACCUGAAGGUUCGGAAUAACUGCGGGAAACUGUAGCUAAUACCGGAUGUGUCUGCAAAGAGAAAGAUUUAUCGCCUUCAGAUGAGCCCGCACUAGAUUAGCUAGUUGGUGAGGUAAUUGCUCCACCAAGGCUACGAUCUAUAGCUGAUUUGAGAGGAUGAUCAGCCACACUGGGACUGAGACACGGCCCAGACUCCUACGGGAGGCAGCAGUAGGGAAUAUUGGACAAUGGGGGAAACCCUGAUCCAGCAAUGCCGCGUGAGUGAAGAAGGCCUUCGGGUUGUAAAGCUCUUUCAUCAAUGAUGAUAAUGACAUUAGUUGAAGAAGAAGCCCCGGCUAACUUCGUGCCAGCAGCCGCGGUAAUACGAAGGGGGCUAGCGUUGUUCGGAAUCACUGGGCGUAAAGCGUAUGUAGGCGGAUCAAAAAGUUAGAUGUGAAAUCCCUGGGCUCAACCCAGGAACUGCAUUUAAAACUAGUGAUCUAGAAUUUGGUAGGGGCCAGUAGAAUUUCCAGUGUAGAGGUGAAAUUCGUAGAUAUUGGAAAGAAUACCAGUGGCGAAGGCGACUGGCUGGGCCAAUUUUGACGCUGAGAUACGAAAGCGUGGGUAGCAAACAGGAUUAGAUACCCUGGUAGUCCACGCAGUAAACGAUGAGUGCUAGUCGCUGGGACAAUAGUUUCAGUGUCGAAGCUAACGCAUUAAGCACUCCGCCUGGGAAGUACGGUCGCAAGAUUAAAACUCAAAUAAAUUGACGGGGGCCCGCACAAGCGGUGGAGCAUGUGGUUUAAUUCGAAGCAACGCGAAGAACCUUACCAGACCUUGACAUGGUAUGUUUGAAUUACAGAAUAGUAAUUCUUCAGUUCGGCUGGCAUACACACAGGUGCUGCAUGGCUGUCGUCAGCUCGUGUCGUGAGAUGUUGGGUUAAGUCCCGCAACGAGCGCAACCCUCAUUUUUAGUUGCCAUCAGGUUAAGCUGGGCACUCUAAAAAAACUGCCGGUGAUAAGCUGGAGGAAGGCGGGGAUGACGUCAAGUCCUCAUGGCCCUUACGGUCUGGGCUACACACGUGCUACAAUGGUGGUGACAGUGGGCAGCAAUACUGCAAAGUAAAGCUAAUCCCAAAAAACCAUCUCAGUUCGGAUUGGACUCUGCAACUCGAGUCCAUGAAGUUGGAAUCGCUAGUAAUCGUAGAUCAGCGUGCUACGGUGAAUACGUUCUCGGGCCUUGUACACACCGCCCGUCACGCCAUGGGAGUUGGUUUUACCUUAAGCCGGUGCGCUAACCGCAAGGAAGCAGCCGUCCACGGUAGGGUCAGCGACUGGGGCGAAGUCGUAACAAGGUAACCGUAGGGGAACCUGCGGUUGGAUCACCUCCUUU